rfam:Oryza glumipatula chromosome 5, whole genome shotgun sequence.
UUUAAGUGCAAUCAUAAGUUUCUGUGUCUAACUUUAAUCAUCCGUCUUAUUUAAUUUAUUUUAUAAUUAGCAUUUUUAUUGUUAUGGGAUGAUAAAACAUAAAUAGUACUUCGUGCUUGACUUAUGUUUUUAAUUUUUUUUAAUAAGACGAACCACACAAAUUAGACACGGAACAUUAUGACUGCACUUAAA